rnacentral:rRNA from 1 species
ACAGCAGUAGCCGCGGUAAUACGUAGGGUGCGAGCGUUAAUCGGAAUUACUGGGCGUAAAGCGUGCGCAGGCGGUUAUAUAAGACAGAUGUGAAAUCCCCGGGCUCAACCUAGGACCUGCAUUUGUGACUGUAUAGCUAGAGUACGGUAGAGGGGGAUGGAAUUCCGCGUGUAGCAGUGAAAUGCGUAGAUAUGCGGAGGAACACCGAUGGGGAAUGCAAUCCCCUGGACCUGUACUGACGCUCAUGCACGAAAGCGUGGGGAGCAAACAGGAUUAGAUACCCGCGUAGUCCCUGUCUCUUAUAC